CAAAUCUCAAAAAGCCGUCCCAGUUCGGAUCGCAGGCUGCAACCCGCCUGCGUGAAGUUGGAAUCGCUAGUAAUCGCGGAUCAGCAUGCCGCGGUGAAUACGUUCCCGGGCCUUGUACACACCGCCCGUCACACCAUGAGAGUCGGGAACACCCGAAGUCCGUAGCCUGACCGCAAGGGGGGCGCGGCCGAAGGUGGGUUCGAUAAUUGGGGUGAAGUCGUAACAAGGUAUC
rnacentral:rRNA from 1 species